rnacentral:tRNA from 2 species
GCCGCUGUAGCUCAGCCCGGCUAGAGCGCCGGCCUUGUAAGCCGGAUGUCGCGGGUCCGAAUCCCGCCAGCGGCU